CCUACGGGAGGCAGCAGUGAGGAAUAUUGGUCAAUGGACGAGAGUCUGAACCAGCCAAGUAGCGUGAAGGAUGACUGCCCUAUGGGUUGUAAACUUCUUUUAUAUGGGAAUAAAACGUUCCACGUGUGGGAUUUUGUAUGUACCAUAUGAAUAAGGAUCGGCUAACUCCGUGCCAGCAGCCGCGGUAAUACGGAGGAUCCGAGCGUUAUCCGGAUUUAUUGGGUUUAAAGGGAGCGUAGGUGGAUUGUUAAGUCAGUUGUGAAAGUUUGCGGCUCAUCCGUAAAAUUGCAGUUGAAACUGGCAGUCUUGAGUACAGUAGAGGUGGGCGGAAUUCGUGGUGUAGCGGUGAAAUGCUUAGAUAUCACGAAGAACUCCGAUUGCGAAGGCAGUUCACUGGACUGCAACUGACACUGAGGCUCGAAAGUGUGGGUAUCAAACAGGAUUAGAUACCCGUGUAGUC
rnacentral:rRNA from 1 species